GCCCGUGUGGCGCAGGGGUAGCGCGCAGUCUUGGUAAGACUGAGGUCAUGGGUUCAAAUCCCAUCACGGGCU
rnacentral:tRNA from 1 species